GCUUAUCACCAUUCCAGAUUGAAUAUACCCGGAUCUCGUCUGGAUCUCGGAAGUCAAGCAAUCUACGGGCUUGGUUAGUAC
rnacentral:rRNA from 1 species